UGGGGAAUAUUGGGCAAUGGGCGAAAGCCUGACCCAGCAACGCAGCGUGAAGGAAGAAGGUCUUCGGAUCGUAAACUUCUAUCCCCGGUGAAGAUAAUGACGGUAACCGGGAAGGAAGCCCCGGCUAACUACGUGCCAGCAGCCGCGGUAAUACGUAGGGGGCAAGCGUUGUCCGGAAUGAUUGGGCGUAAAGGGCGCGUAGGCGGCUCGGUAAGUCUGGAGUGAAAUUCCUGCUUUCAAGGUGGGAACUGCUUUGGAUACUGUCGGGCUUGAGUGCAGGAGAGGUAAGUGGAAUUCCCGGUGUAGCGGUGAAAUGCGUAGAGAUCGGGAGGAACACCAGUGGCGAAGGCGACUUACUGGACUGUAACUGACGCUGAGGCGCGAAAGUGUGGGGAGCAAACA
rnacentral:rRNA from 1 species